CUUUUCUUGGAUUUGGGGUUUGGUUUCCAAAGAAACCUCUCCUUUGCAUUUCCAGUCUAUGUUUUAUAUAUCUACACCCCAUUAGUAUGUGUUAGAAUGUUUAUUAUUUGGCCUUUCGUUUUGAUAGGCUUUAAAACUUAUACAACUUUCAACAACGGAUCUCUUGGCUCUCGCAUCGAUGAAGAACGCAGCGAAAUGCGAUAAGUAAUGUGAAUUGCAGAAUUCAGUGAAUCAUCGAAUCUUUGAACGCACCUUGCGCUCCUUGGUAUUCCGAGGAGCAUGCCUGUUUGAGUGUCAUUAAAUUCUCAAUCCCAGAAAGGGUUUAUUCUCAGCUGGGGUUGGAUAUGGGGGUUUUGCCGGCUUUGUAAAGAGUCAGCUCUCCUGAAAAACAUUAGCAAGACUGUUAUUGCAACCUUGUUAUUGGUGUGAUAAUUAUCUACAUCAUAGAUUGUGUGCAUGUCUGGCUUCUAACAGUCCAUUGAAUUGGACAAAACUCUGACAAUUUGACCUCAAAUCAGGUAGGACUACCCCGCUGAACUUAA
rnacentral:rRNA from 1 species